UACGUAGGGACCAAGCGUUGUUCGGAUUUACUGGGCGUAAAGGGCGCGUAGGCGGUGUUGUAAGUCACUUGUGAAAUCUCUGAGCUUAACUCAGAACGGCCAAGUGAUACUGCAGCACUAGAGUGCAGAAGGGGCAAUCGGAAUUCUUGGUGUAGCGGUGAAAUGCGUAGAUAUCAAGAGGAACACCUGAGGUGAAGACGGGUUGCUGGGCUGACACUGACGCUGAGGCGCGAAAGCUAGGGGGAGCAAACGGG
rnacentral:rRNA from 1 species